GGGUUCGGGGUGAUUCCGAAUGGCUAACGGGGAGUUUGGAACUUGGAAAUACAGCUGAUCAACUGCUGUUUCUGGUGUCGUCCGCACCUGCGAAGUAGGAGACACAGGUGCAAGACCACAUGAGCGACAUAGGAGUUGCAGAUGCGGCCAUAUGGGACUUUAGCUGGAACCGCAGGUGCGAGAAGGCGGGCGCAUCUGCGAGACCUGGGGCGCAGAUGCGGAAGUAAGGAAGUUGGUUGGUUCCCCAGAAGCGGACAAAGAUGCGCAGGUGCGCAAUCGCAAGUGCGAGAUUUUGCCGCGGAUGCGGAGUCUGGAUUUUUAAGUGACUUUCGCACCCGUGAUGGGAAUUCUGGAGGUGCGGCGUCGCAGAAGCAGGGAUCUGGACGCAGGUGCGAGUUCACUGGGUAGAAAGUAUAAAAAGGAGGCCUCGCGAAUUGUUGCUCAUUUCCACCAUUUUCAAGUUAGAUCUUGGAGCUUUUGGGGUGAUUUUUGAAGGGGAUUAAAGAGUUUUCACUGAGGUAAGUUGCUUGAGCUCUAUUAUCAUUAGCUACGGUAUUUUUCCAUUGAUUUCCCACUUAAUUAGUAGGAUUUUUGAAGUGAAAUAAGGGGUUAAGACUUGGGAUUUUGGAGAGAGUAAUUUGGAGAAUUGAGGGACCAAAUAAUGUCGGAUUUUGAUGAAAUUGGUAUGGGUAGACUCGUGAGUGAAUGAGCUUUCUAUUUUGUAAUUUUUGUCGGAUUUUGAGACGUGGGUCCGGAUGCCAGGUUUGAAUCGAUUUCGGGAUUUGUGUCUAAUUAAGUAAUUUUUCUUGUGAAAUUGGUUCCUUGGCGUAUAUUAAUUGUAUUGUAUUACUUUUGGCUAGAUUCGGGACGUUUGGAGGCUGAUUCGAGAGGCAAAGGCAUUGCGGAAUAGGAUUUUGCUCAAAUUGAGGUAAGUAAUAGUUGUAAAUCUGGUCUUGAGGGUAUGAAACCCCGAACAUUGUGUGACUAUUUUUGGAGGUGACACACAUUCUAGGUGACGGGCGUGUGGGCGUGCACCGAAGGGAUUGUCACUUGGUACGUCCCGUAGAAACUGUAAAGUUGAACAACAUGCUGUUAGCUCUAUGCUGCCUAUGUGUUAUGAAAGAUUGACUGUAAAUCAUGUUAAAAACUAUGUUUAGGCUAUAUGUUGGCAAUGUUGGGUCCCGUAGGGGUCACGUUACAUGUUGAAUUGUCUAUUAAAUGUUAUUUGUACUCAAUCAUAGUUUUUACUCGUAUAUCAUUUCUCAGUCUCUAUAUUCUAUCUGAUACUUCAUGUUAUUGUUGUUUGGGCUGAUUUUUCUGAUUUCUGAGAGCCCGAGCGGCUGGAGAGAUUAAUAACUGAGUGAGGCCGAGGGCCUGAUUGUGAGGAUAUUUAUGGGAUCAGUCUGAACACCGCAACAUGUUUUAUUGAUUUAUGACUGAGUGAGGCUGUGUGCCUGAUUGAUUUAUGCCAUGAUUGGUUUGUUAUAGCGCUUGGGCUGAAGGAGUCCCUUCGGAGUCUGCACACCCCCAGUGAGCGCAGGUACCUACUAAGUGCAAGUGUCGAGUGAUUGUGAGGAAUGAGUGAUUGUGAGGUUGGAGUGAUUGGGAGGACUGAGAGAUACUUAUAUUAUUGAUGUACACAAUUGCCUUAUAUCCAUAUUUUGAAGACUAUUGAAAGAUAUUUUUAUCUGAUUUUACUUGAACUUGCCUGAAAUAAACUGAUUUGAUUUAAUUUAUCGGAACUUGGGAAGCAUGACUAUUUUCCUUUCUAAAAUUAUUGAAAUGAACUAAAACUGUGUAACUCGUCACUAUCUUCAGUUCCUUAUUUAUUAUUGUUACUUACUGAGUUGGCGUACUGACGUUACUCCACGCACCUCGUGUGCAAAUCUAGGAUUUGUUGGACACGGUGAUUGUUGAUAGUACCCGUAGCUGGUCAUUGGAGAUUGCGGCAUAGCUGCCGGCGUUCGCAACCCUGCUUUCUUCUUCCCUAUCUUUCCUUAUUUACUGUAUUUGGAUUCUAGACUAUGUUUGUCUUGUUACUUUUGAAUCGGUUAUGUUAGAUGUUCAUGACUAGUGAUACCCCAAUGUCGGGCUUUAUUUCCGCGCUUAUGUUUUGGGGUUCACCCCGUUUUAUGUCAAAG
rnacentral:lncRNA from 1 species